rnacentral:lncRNA from 1 species
AUGUUCAGGCAGAUGACGCUAGCUGGAUUUGGGGUGUUCCAGGGCCCCCUGGGUGAGCUAGCACAGAGAAGGGCCCUGGGGGUCAGGCAGGCAGCCACUGGCUCCUUGCGCAUGCCCAGAGAGGUGGGGUUCAUUGCAAGCACCUUCCUCUGUCCGAAGAAGGACGUGUGUGUGUGCCCUGCUGUGGGCAUGAGCUCGACCACCCUGUGUGCUGUGCUUUACCUCCUGGCUUUUGGAGCUCAGCACCCUGACUGCCCCAAGUGUGGCCUCAUCCACCUCCUCCCAGGCUGGGGGAGGAUGGCCCUGUCCUCACUGAGCAUCUUCUUACCCAGAUCCAUUUUCAACCCCUCACUUUUCAAUUCAGGAACAGAGACCCAGAGAAAGGUGAAGCUCAAGGCCCACGGGGUGUGCAGAAUCCAGAGGACCUGGACACUUCUGGCAUCUGAGGAUGAAAAUGACACGGCUGAGGAAAUAAUAGAUCCCGGCUUGGUGCAGAGCUUUAGAACCAGCCAGAACAUGGAGCAACACCUGCUAUCUGGCCACUUGGGCAGGGAGGACCUGGACGCAUCCGACGUCCUGGGGAACAGGAACGUGGUCCUCCCCACCAGGCAAACCCUGACGAAAACGACCCCCAGGUGAGCACAGUAGCCCUUCCAUGGCGGCUGGGGUGCCAGAUAUUGCCAUUGGACACUGGGGGCCAAUUCAUUUCUCUGAGCCUCAGAUGACUCCUUGCAUGAGUAGGGGCCUGCAGGACAAACAGCAAUAGUUAUUGAGAGGACCAAAUGGGAGGAGAUAGAGGAAGUGUUGACCAAGUUAGUCCGUGUGUCACAGGCUGUUAUAGGGCCUGGGAUGGACACCGUGAUUUCCCACUCACCUAGGGAGAAGCCUCUGACUCAGUCCUCAACUACAACAGGCCAUAGCACAAACCUCUUUCCCUUUUUGAAGGAAGAUUGACACUUCCGUCCUGCACUUCUUCAACCAAGGUCUAGUCAAAAGGCAUUGAGGGGGCUGGAGAAGUAGAAUCUGCCAAAUCUGACAUCUGGGAAUGUGAUGGGCUCUAUCAAUCAAUAGUGAUUAUGUGUGUAGGAAAAUUGCACAGAUUAGUAGUUGGAGGAAAGGAGGACUAAAAAUCCCUGCUGCUGGACGUCCAUUCCACAGGGAGUCGGAAAAUUACACUAGACCUCGUAAGCACAGGGAGACCAUGAAUGUUAGGUGUGAUACUUCAGUGUCUUUCUCUAGGGAUGAGACAGUCCUCCAGGUCACUUAAGGACAAGGAAGACUCAUGGACCUAAGGAAAAUAUGAGUGGAAUAUAUGUAAUCUACAAGGGCCUUAAAGUCCACAGUGGAGUCAGAAAGUUUAGGUGGGGUAGUCCCGGGAAGCUCAGGACAGAUCUCUUUGUCCCAAAAAUUUCAUGAUUUACACCUUGGUUUGAUUUGUCACAAACUGCCCCAUCCUAUGAACAGAAUCCAUGGUCCCAGGGAAGAGACGAGUUUAGCAAAAUGCUAAAGAAUUUGUAGAGAUGUUCUGUCGAGGCUUCUCAGCUCUAGGAAAAGUGGGGUUAGGCUGGGCUCCUGCCACUAAGAGGAAAAUAAGGCCUGGAUGAGUUACACUCACAGGCUUUCAAAAAAUGUGGCAGCUCUUGGUCCCUGGGGUGCAGGAUACGAUGCACUUAGGACAUGGGAAUGUGGGGUAGAGGGCCCCACCCACCAGGUAUUAAGUGCCCAUGUUUUGAAGCAUAGUGCAAAGAAGAAGUAGUCACUG